UCAAUGAUCAUCCGUCCACACAUCAUACAUCAUAUGUAUAAAUCAUCAUCAUGUAGGACUACUAGAUAAUAAUAAAAAUAAUAAUCAAUUAAACAUUUUACUCAAUUAAUAUUUUCUAAAAUUAGGGACACGUAUGGAAGUUUCUAAAUUUUGAGGGGUAUUUUCAUAAUUUGGAUAAAAGGACAGAAUUGGAAAUUCAUAAA
rnacentral:lncRNA from 1 species